AAACCAACAGGGAUUGCCUUAGUAACGGCGAGUGAAGCGGCAAAAGCUCAAAUUUGAAAUCUAGCACUUUCAGUGUUCGAGUUGUAAUUUGAAGAAGGUAACUUUGGAAUUGGCUCUUGUCUAUGUUCCUUGGAACAGGACGUCACAGAGGGUGAGAAUCCCGUGCGAUGAGAUGUCCAAUUCUAUGUAAAGUGCUUUCGAAGAGUCGAGUUGUUUGGGAAUGCAGCUCUAAGUGGGUGGUAAAUUCCAUCUAAAGCUAAAUAUUGGCGAGAGACCGAUAGCGAACAAGUACAGUGAUGGAAAGAUGAAAAGAACUUUGAAAAGAGAGUGAAAAAGUACGUGAAAUUGUUGAAAGGGAAGGGCUUGAGAUCAGACUUGGUAUUUGUGUUCCUUAUCCUUCUUGGAUUGGGUUCCUCACAGCUUACCGGGCCAGCAUCGGUUUGGAUGGCAGGAUAAUGACAUUGGAAUGUAGCUUUGCUUCGGUGAAGUGUUAUAGACUUUGUUGAUUAC
rnacentral:rRNA from 1 species